rnacentral:rRNA from 1 species
AGUGAACGCUGGCGGUAGGCCUAACACAUGCAAGUCGAACGGCAGCACAGUAAGAGCUUGCUCUUACGGGUGGCGAGUGGCGGACGGGUGAGGUAUACAUCGGAAUCUACUUUUUCGUGGGGGAUAACGUAGGGAAACUUACGCUAAUACCGCAUACGACCUACGGGUGAAAGCAGGGGAUCUUCGGACCUUGCGCGAGUGAACGGGCCGGUGUCGGAUUAGCUGGUUGGCGGGGUAGUGGCCCACCAAGGCGUUGAUGGGUAGCCGGCCUGAGAGGGUGAGCGGCCAAAGUGGGACUGAGAUACGGCACAGACUGCUACGGGAGGCAGCAGGGGGGAAUAGUGAACAAUGGGCGGAAGCCUGAUGCAGAAACGCCGCGUGCGGGAUGACGGCCUUCGGGUUGUAAACCGCCUUCGCCUGUGACGAAGCGUGAGUGACGGUAAUGGGUAAAGAAGCACCGGCUAACUACGUG